UAAAGAUAGCUUGCUAUUUUUAUGAAGAGCGGCGAACGGGUGAGUAACGCGUGGGAAAUCUGCCGAGUAGCGGGGGACAACGUUUGGAAACGAACGCUAAUACCGCAUAACAAUGAGAAUCGCAUGAUUCUUAUUUAAAAGAAGCAAUUGCUUCACUACUUGAUGAUCCCGCGUUGUAUUAGCUAGUUGGUAGUGUAAAGGACUACCAAGGCGAUGAUACAUAGCCGACCUGAGAGGGUGAUCGGCCACACUGGAACUGAGACACGGCCCAGACUCCUACGGGAGGCAGCAGUAGGGAAUCUUCGGCAAUGGGGGCAACCCUGACCGAGCAACGCCGCGUGAGUGAAGAAGGUUUUCGAAUCGUAAAACUCUGUUGUUAGAGAAGAACGUUAAGUAGAGUGGAAAAUUACUUAAGUGACGGUAUCUAACCAGAAAGGGACGGCUAACUACGUGCCAGCAGCCGCGGUAAUACGUAGGUCCCAAGCGUUGUCCGGAUUUAUUGGGCGUAAAGCGAGCGCAGGUGGUUUCUUAAGUCUGAUGUAAAAGGCAGUGGCUCAACCAUUGUGUGCAUUGGAAACUGGGAGACUUGAGUGCAGGAGAGGAGAGUGGAAUUCCAUGUGUAGCGGUGAAAUGCGUAGAUAUAUGGAGGAACACCGGAGGCGAAAGCGGCUCUCUGGUCUGUAACUGACGCUGAGGCUCGAAAGCGUGGGGAGCAAACAGGAUUAGAUACCCUGGUAGUCCACGCCGUAAACGAUGAGUGCUAGGUGUUAGGCCCUUUCCGGGGCUUAGUGCCGCAGCC
rnacentral:rRNA from 1 species